GUAACUGGUCAGGAGUGGGGGGCGUGUAUUUGGCCGAGGCUAGAGUCACAUCCUGACAUGGUACUUGUCCUGGUGUGCUACAGUUCUCGGAGAGAAUCGCUGGUCUUGAUUCAUUGGUAGG
rnacentral:miRNA from 1 species